GGUCCCCGUGUUUCUGGGAGGUGAGGCGGGAGGGAGUGACCCCCCGCGCCCCUUCAGUCCCCCUACUACGUCGCCUCCAUAGCCUGCGGAGAAGCGGGGACCGCGCGCAUCGCAGCGCAUCGCCUCACAGCGGAACGCCGCGCACUCGGAGCCGGCGCGGCUCGGCGGGUUUUGGUUUUUUGCACUGAAUGUAGUCUAGACUCAUCUUCACGGGCUUGUGUUGCCCCAGGAUACUGUCAAAGGCAGUAUUUGUGUGUUUCUGCAGAGUUUUGCACAGAGUCUGUUCCCAUGCAAACCAAUGAGGGAGAAGUGUCGGAAGAAAGCAGUUCCAAGUGGUCUUCUUCCCCAAAACCCGUUGUCCCACUCUGAUCAUGAGAAAAACAUCAGACAGAUCCUGACAGAGGGAUGUCCUACAAAAUACCUGACCAAGACUACCCUCGAAACUGUCAAGAGAAAACAAGAUACGUCUGAGAAACUGUCCCAGCCAAAAGGAGUCUAAGGGGACAUCAUGACUAAAUGUAAUACAAUAUCCUAGGUGAGAUCCUGGAAUAGAAUAAGAAUGUUAGGUAAGAACUAAGAAAAUUUGAAUAA